GCGCACGCAUCAGUUAGGUACUCUGGUCACGUGGAGGAGUUGAAGAUGGCGGCGGCCCAGGCUGUGGAGGAAAUGAGGACCCGCGUGGUUCUAGGGGAGUUUGGGGUUCGCAAUGUUCAUACCACUGACUUUCCCGGUAACUAUUGCGGCUACGAUGAUGCCUGGGACCAGGACCGCUUUGAGAAGAAUUUCCGUGUGGAUGUGGUACACAUGGAUGAAAACUCAUUGGAGUUUGACAUGGUGGGAAUCGACGCAGCCAUUGCCAAUGCGUUUCGGCGCAUUCUGUUAGCUGAGGUGCCGACCAUGGCUGUGGAGAAGGUCCUGGUGUACAACAACACAUCCAUCGUCCAGGAUGAGAUCCUCGCCCACCGCCUGGGCCUCAUCCCCAUUCAUGCCGACCCCCGUCUUUUUGAAUAUCGGAACCAAGGAGACGAAGGCGGCACAGAGAUUGACACCCUGCAGUUCCGGCUGCAGGUCAGGUGCACGCGGAACCCCCACGCUGCUAAAGACUCCUCUGACCCCAAUGAGCUCUAUGUCAACCACAAAGUGUACACCAGGCACAUGACGUGGGUGCCCCUGGGGAACCAGGCUGACCUCUUCCCGGAGGGCACCAUCCGCCCAGUGCACGACGACAUCCUCAUUGCGCAGCUGCGGCCUGGCCAGGAGAUUGACCUGCUCAUGCACUGCGUCAAGGGCAUUGGCAAAGAUCAUGCCAAGUUUUCACCUGUGGCAACAGCCAGUUACAGGCUCCUGCCAGAUAUCACCCUGCUGGAGCCUGUGGAAGGGGAGGCGGCGGAAGAGCUGAGCCGCUGCUUCUCACCUGGUGUUAUUGAGGUGCAGGAAAUCCAAGGUAAAAAGGUGGCCAGAGUUGCCAAUCCCCGGCUAGAUACCUUUAGCAGGGAAGUCUUCCGGAAUGAGAAGCUAAAGAAGGUUGUACGGCUUGCGCGUGUUCGAGACCAUUAUAUCUUUUCUGUUGAGUCCACAGGGGUGUUGCCACCAGAUGUGCUGGUGAGUGAAGCCAUCAAGGUGCUGAUGGGGAAGUGUCAGCGGUUCCUGGACGAAUUGGAUGCGGUUCAGAUGGACUAAGGCCACGCUGGAUGAUAUGGCCAGGAUCGGGUACUCCUGAGGCAAGCUGAAGACUUCAGCCCCACCAGAGAGGAGUAGGCAGCUGGUAAACCUGGAGGGAAACAUGCGGAGACGGCCUUCACAGUGGACAGGAAGCCCAAAGCACCACCCAGGAAGAGGGGACGGAUCCAGCCUGUGCCAUAGGGUGCUACGUGGACUCCCAAGUCUUUUCCAGCUUCACCUCUUCCUGCCCCCACCUGACCUGGGGCCAUACCAGCUAAGAGCUGCAGCUUCAGUCCAUGCACUCUGACUGGCUCUCACUGAAAAGCCUGGUCAGUGGAUUGGACUGAUGCCAGGCCUCUGUGGAGAGCACAUGAACACUGUGGAGAUUAACUUAAUUCCCACACCCAUGUCCCCUCUGCUUAUAGGGCCAUCCAGUGAUGUC